rnacentral:lncRNA from 1 species
CACAAAAGUUUCAACAAUCACAAUAUACAAGUCUAAAAGGGUUUCAUUUUCUUCCUUGUUUUGCUUCAUUUUAGUGUUUGAAAUCUUCAUUUUCUGAGAUUUUUUUCUCCAUUCCUUUGUAUUUAACUUACAAUCCAUCAUGGCAACCACCGUAUCAGCUUUGAAGCCUCAAUCUUAUGGAAAUUGUGUGACCAUCCUAAGCAUUGAUGGUGGAGGGAUCAGAGGAAUCAUCCCCGGAGUAAUCCUUGGAUAUUUAGAGACUGAGCUUCAGGUUUGAAAAUAAUUAAUCUCUCCAAUCUUUAAUUUUGUGUAGCGUAACUACACAAUCAUGGACUCGAUUUGCACGACUAUUCCAUGGACCAAAAGGAAAAUUGAAUCUCUCUUUGUACUAAUUCAUUUCUUGAAUGGCCUUGGUGUAGAAAUUCUCUUUGUACAUAAUUCAUUUUUGGAAUGGCCUUGGUGCAGAAAUUGGAUGGUUCGGAUGUAAGACUUGCUGACUACUUUGAUGUGAUUGCCGGCACAAGCACUGGUGGCCUUGUGACUGCCAUGCUUACAGCUCCAAAUGAGAAGAAAAGACCUCUUUAUGCUGCGAAAGAUAUCAAGGACUUCUACCUUGAGGAGUGUCCCAAAAUCUUCCCUCAAUCAAAGUAGAUAUCUUAAUUAGACUUUUUUUUUUAUACCAUAUCUUAAUUAGACUCGAUCCAUCUUCAUUCCAAAUAAUUUAAUGCGUACUAUAUCAAGAAACUCAAAUUGUGUAUGCUACUUUUAACUUACAAUUGACACGACUUUCGUCCAUGACCAGUCAUCUAUUCAGUGGAGUCGAAAACGUGGUGAAAUCAAUGACAGGACCCAGCUAUGACGGGAAAUAUCUCCAUAGCAUGCUCCGGGAAAAGCUUGGGCAGACCAGAUUGCACGAUACAUUGACUAAUGUUGUCAUCCCAGCUUUCGACGUCAAACUAUUCCAGCCCGCCAUCUUCUCCAGCUAUGCAGUUCGUACCAAUUUAAGAAACCUUGGUUAUUUUAGUUAGACUAUUGUUUACUUUUAUCUCAUGCAACAGAAAUUAAUAUGGUUCGUGUUUUUAAUGGCUCAGAUGAAGCACUUUUCAAGUUUGGACGCCUUGCUCAGCGAUAUAUGCAUAUCAACUUCGGCUGCUCCUACUUAUCUUCCUGCCCACAAAUUCGAAACUAAGGAACCUGAUGGCAGCACAAGAGAAUUUCACAUGAUCGAUGGUGGCAUGGCGGCCAACAAUCCGGUAAGAUAUUAAAUCUCAUCUAUCCCAUGUUAAUUUGAGAACCAUGCACUAAUUAUUUUAUUACAAAAUUAUUACUUUCCUCAUGAUUACUGCAAUUUUAUAUCUGUCGACUGUAUUUUCUUCAGACCUUAGUUGCUAUGGGCCAAGUGACUAGGGAGAUUAGUCGAGGAAAUCCCGACUUCGCCUCUGUCGGUUCAUCGGAUUAUAGUCGCUUCAUUGUUCUGUCCUUGGGAACGGGUACUACAAAAGCGGGAGGGUUUGAUGCUGAGGAUGUUGCCAAGUGGGGACUUUUGUCUUGGCUGACAAAUGCUAAUACAACUCCUAUAAUAGAUAUAUACACUCAAGCAAGUGGGGAUAUCGUUGAUCUUCAUCUUUCCACUAUUUUUCAAACUAUGCAGUGCGAAGAACAUUAUCUGCGAAUUCAGGUAAAAGUCUUUGCGCUGUACUCUUUUAUCUUUUUUUGCUUACACUUGAAAAAAUAAUUAAGACAAAAAAUUGGAAGUAAAAAAGAAAGCAAUAUGAGCUAUAUUAGUAAGAACCUUGAAGGCCCUGGUUUAUACAUAGUUUUUCUGUCCUCCAAAUAGUAUAUAAGCGUACGCUUGUACAAACAUGCAUAUUUCAGGAUGACACGUUAUCUGGAGAUCUGGGUUCUGUGGAUCUUGCCACAAAGGAAAAUUUAGAGAAUCUUGUCAAAGUUGGGGAGAAUUUGUUGAAGAAACCACUUUCUAGGACUAAUUUGCAGAGUGGUGCUAGUGAGUCCGUGAACAAGGGCACAAACGAGGAGGCUCUCAAAAGGU